CUUGAACUCAGAAAUCCGCCUGCCUCUGCCUCUCAAAUGCUGGGAUUAAAGGUGUGUGCCACCACGCCCGGCCUGUGGCUCAUUUUAAAGGGGAGACUACAGUCGCGUUGCUUCUCCUGUUCUCACAGGAUUGACACAACAGCUCCCUUAUUUCUGUCUGGCCUCUCUGUGUCUUGCAGCAGACAGUGGAGGGACCACGGGUGUUUGCUCUGACUGUUACUGGGUACCCUACCAGAGACAGGAUCCGGUGCAUCCCAGGCUGGCCUAGAGCUAAGUCUGUAGCCCAGGAGGACCUUGAACUUCUGAUCCUCCCGCCUCAGGGCACUCCUCUCCGUUUAUUCAAAGCACGGGGUAGAAUCAGGGUUCUGUAUGCUCAGGCAAGCAGUCUUCCAACCAAGAUACAGCCAACCCCACUUGAGCCAACUUGAAGUUAAACUCACUGGCAGAAUUUGCUUGAGGUGAUCCCAGUACAGACAAACCAUGAGCUCAGGGCGAGCUGUAGUCCAGGCUAUACAUUUUUUGGCACUGGCUUCUCUCAGAGACCAUUAUUAAAUGAUCCAAACUGGGCAUGCACACGCACACAUGCACGCACUCGCGCACACACAGUCUCCCACACAUUUGGACGUGUGUGUGUGUGUGUGUGUGUGUGUGUGUGUGUGUGUGUGUGUGUGUUUAGGUGCAUUUGGAGGACUGAAAUUCACAUCAGAUGUCAACCAGUUUUCCCGGGGGAUCCUUUGUCUGCCUCCUAAGGACUAGAUGGUAGGGAGCUCUCAUGCCUGUCCAGCUUUCUCUGGGUUCUGGACCAUUUUUCUUAUUUCACAAUAUGUGACACAUGAGUGGAAUUUCCCCUGAGAAGGACGAGCCACACCUGCUAAGGAUUCCACAAGGCCAGUAAACUUGCUGAUUACAGAGUCAGAGUGUUGCAGACGAGAGCCAAAUGGUUUCUCUGUCUCUUUGAGAUUCAUUCCUUACACAGUCCUGUGUGUGACCUGACUGUCAAAAUCCUUUACAGCCCAGAAGUCACUGAGAGCAUCAAAAGCCCUUGCAUAACCUCUCCCCUGUGGUUUCCAACAGUGUGUUUGAGAAAUGAUUUGAUUUCUUUGUUCUGUAACUAAUAAAAUCUCCUGUGACCACUUGGAGCAACCCCAGUCUGUGUUGCAGGACCACAGGCACUCACGGGCUCAGGAGUCACUGUCUCUUUUCCCCCUCGAGUCGAGAGCUUUGCUUUGCACUAACACUUUAUAUAGGUGGUGGGUCUUACAUUCAUCCAUGGCCUAUAUGUGAUGAAAUCCCACAGGUGGGAACAGCUUUCAGGAGCCAGGACAGGAUGCCCGGAGCCCUGACAGGAUGACAGUGGCCACUUCAUGCCAGGGUGUCCCAGCCUGGCCCGCUUCUCUGCUGCUCGGUUUUUAUGGUUGUGUGUGACAGCAGGAUCUCUAAGUUCCCAGCCUUAGACUGAAUGUGGAAGCUGCAAAAAUAAUUUGGUAGAAGCAAAAGGCUUUUGAACAGGUAAGGUGUUUCUGGUGGUUCCCCCCUCGCCUCCCCCACACCCUCAUGUUGCAGCCUGUGACUUCACUACAGCCUUGGUUCUGAACACACAACAUAAAUGUUUGCCACCGUGCAUUCUCUAACUUAUCUCUCAGCUCAGAAAACACUUCGUGAAGACACCCUGCAGACUGCGCUGUCAACUGUAUGUAACAAUAAG
rnacentral:lncRNA from 1 species